rnacentral:rRNA from 1 species
UACGUAGGCAGCGAGCGUUGUUCGGAAUUACUGGGCGUAAAGAGUGUGUAGGCGGUGCUCUAAGUUCGGUGUGAAAUCUCCUGGCUCAACUGGGAGGGUGCGCCGGAAACUGGAGUGCUUGAGCGUGGGAGAGGAAAGCGGAAUUCCUGGUGUAGCGGUGAAAUGCGUAGAGAUUUGGAGGAACACCAGUGGCGAAGGCGACUUUCUGGUCUGUAACUGACACUGAGGCGCGAAAGCGUGGGGAGCAAACAGG